AGAGUUUGAUCAUGGCUCAGAUUGAACGCUGGCGGCAUGCCUUACACAUGCAAGUCGAACGGCAGCACGGGAGCAAUCCUGGUGGCGAGUGGCGAACGGGUGAGUAAUACAUCGGAACGUGUCCUGGAGUGGGGGAUAGCCCGGCGAAAGCCGGAUUAAUACCGCAUACGCUCUGAGGAGGAAAGGGGGGGCUCGCAAGACCUCCCGCUCAAGGGGCGGCCGAUGGCAGAUUAGCUAGUUGGUGGGGUAAAGGCCUACCAAGGCGACGAUCUGUAGCUGGUCUGAGAGGACGACCAGCCACACUGGGACUGAGACACGGCCCAGACUCCUACGGGAGGCAGCAGUGGGGAAUUUUGGACAAUGGGCGCAAGCCUGAUCCAGCAAUGCCGCGUGUGUGAAGAAGGCCUUCGGGUUGUAAAGCACUUUUGUCCGGAAAGAAAACUUCCUGGUUAAUACCCGGGGAGGAUGACGGUACCGGAAGAAUAAGCACCGGCUAACUACGUGCCAGCAGCCGCGGUAAUACGUAGGGCGCAAGCGUUAAUCGGAAUUACUGGGCGUAAAGCGUGCGCAGGCGGUUCGUUAAGACAGAUGUGAAAUCCCCGGGCUUAACCUGGGAACUGCAUUUGUGACUGGCGGACUGGAGUAUGGCAGAGGGGGGUAGAAUUCCACGUAGCAGUGAAAUGCGUAGAGAUGUGGAGGAAUACCGAUGGCGAAGGCAGCCCCCUGGGCCAAUACUGACGCUCAUGCACGAAAGCGUGGGGAGCAAACAGGAUUAGAUACCCUAGUAGUCC
rnacentral:rRNA from 1 species